AGUUGUUUGUGAGCCUUUUGAUUUUCCUCGCAAAUGGGGAUCAAAUUUUGAGAAAAACAACUCUAUGAAGUAUUUCCCUCUUCUAUCCAAAUGUUCAACUAAAAACAAAAUAAUGUCGUCGUAGUGUCACUUACUUUUGCUUCUUUAACCUCCUUUGGGCAAUAACAAAAAACGACUCAGAGAGAGAAUAUGAAGCGCAGUUCGUAUUCAUGUGAUUUUUUGGCUGUUUAACGAUGAUCGAUCAAUAAUAUCAGGGCACGUAAACUCGUAAGCAGAACACAUGUUUCAAUUUCAACUUGAAAGUCCAAACCUGUACACACAGUAUGCUGUAUGUUAUGUUCAUUGUUCAUGAACCAGAAGAUUUUCUCUUUACUAAAAAGGAUUUUUCUUUCCUAUUUUUGUGUAAUUUUGUUAUCUCUUUUAAUCCAUUGUGUUGUCUUUUGUGACACAAUUCUAAACUUUGCUUAUCUUACUAUUUGAUUAUUUACCUUGAAUCAGUGGAAAAGGAGGUUGAUACUGAUGUUAUACAGAUUAUAUACAUUAGGCUUGAUUUUGGUACUAUUAUUAUUGAGAAUGGGUUUUUUUUUUUUUUUUUUUAUUUAUUUUUUUAUUUUUUUAUUUAUAUUUGGAUCUUACAAACUAUAUUGGAUUAUUUACCUACUUUUAUAAAGGUAUGGAAGAGAAAUAACUGUAACUCCUCUAUCCUAUUCAAUUUACUACAUACAUUGUUAUUAUCGUAUAAAGUUUUUUCAUCCAAGUAUAGAAAAUUAAGUGGGACGAAUGAGUAAAUAAGCUUCUUUCAUACGCAAUAUAUUUAUAAGUAUAAUCAAAGUACAAGAUAUUAGAAAGUCUACAAAAUAUCCGAGCAGAUAGAACACAUAAUACUCGAUUUGGAGUAUGAUCGAAAAAUGAUCUUCGAUGUAAUCUUAUACACUAUUUCAUUAGCUUCUGUAAGGAUAUGCUUGAUUUUCUUUGUCUUCUCAAUCUCAAAGUAGUGUUUUUUUUUAGAUUUAGAAAUAGGCUACAGAAACGUGCAAGGAAAAUGAAAACUAAACAUUCAGCUAAAAUUGUUAAAAUUGUGAUUCAAAUUGAUCCAAAUAUACACUCACAGAUUAAUUCGUUACUAGAAUCAGAAUCAGUUAUAAUUGCAAGUUGAAUCGUUAGAAUUGCAAUUAGCAUUAUAUGAUUCUACCAAUUCUAAAAAUACUCUACAAAAAUGCUAAAUGUUAUUUGCUUUUUAACGUUUAAAUUGAGAAUCUUGAUCAUAAUAUGGUUGUUUUAUGAACAACAUGGGUUGGGAGUUAGGACUCUUAGGUCUUUAAUGAAAGUUCUUGCUACCUUAUAGUUUUUUUUGAUCUAGAAUACUAGUUGAGUUUUGUUUUCAUUUGAUUUGAAUUACUUAUUAUUAAUUGAAUUGGUGUUCAUAAUUGAUAAUUUAUGCACUAUUGAUUAUGAAAAAUAUUGAGUUUUUUAUUUGGUGUGCUGAAAUUAGGGCUUUGAAAUUGUUACAAUUCAAUAUGGCUUUAAUAAACCUAUAACAUAAUCUUGAUCAAU